rnacentral:rRNA from 1 species
CCUACGGGAGGCAGCAGUGGGGAAUUUUGGACAAUGGGCGCAAGCCUGAUCCAGCAAUGCCGCGUGCAGGAUGAAGGCCUUCGGGUUGUAAACUGCUUUUGUACGGAACGAAAAAGUCUGCCCUAAUACGGUGGGCCCAUGACGGUACCGUAAGAAUAAGCACCGGCUAACUACGUGCCAGCAGCCGCGGUAAUACGUAGGGUGCGAGCGUUAAUCGGAAUUACUGGGCGUAAAGCGUGCGCAGGCGGUUAUAUAAGACAGAUGUGAAAUCCCCGGGCUCAACCUGGGACCUGCAUUUGUGACUGUAUAGCUAGAGUACGGUAGAGGGGGAUGGAAUUCCGCGUGUAGCAGUGAAAUGCGUAGAUAUGCGGAGGAACACCGAUGGCGAAGGCAAUCCCCUGGACCUGUACUGACGCUCAUGCACGAAAGCGUGGGGAGCAAACAGGAUUAGAUACCCUGGUAGUCCACGCCCUAAACGAUGUCAACUGGUUGUUGGGUCUUCACUGACUCAGUAACGAAGCUAACGCGUGAAGCGNGACGCCGNGGGUAAGGUACGGCCGCGAGUAGUUAACGUUACGAAGAAGUUAGACGGCGNGAGACGNGCGACGGACGACGACGAGGGAGGAGG